rnacentral:rRNA from 1 species
UGAGGAAUAUUGGGCAAUGCCCGCAAGGGUGACCCAGCAACGCCGCGUGGAGGAUGAAUGUCGUAAGGUUGUAAACUCCUGUUAGAGGGGAAGAAUAGUACCGGUUGGACCGGUAUAUGACUGUACCCUCAGAGAAAGCCCCGGCUAACUACGUGCCAGCAGCCGCGGUAAUACGUAGGGGGCAAGCGUUGUCCGGAUUUACUGGGUGUAAAGGGCGCGCAGGCGGGAUAAAAAGUCAGUGGUGAAAUCCUACAGCUUAACUGUAGAACUGCCUUUGAUACUUUUAUUCUUGAGUUCGGGAGAGAGAGACGGAAUUCCAGGUGUAGUGGUGAAAUACGUAGAUAUCUGGAAGAACACCAGUUGCGAAGGCGGUCUCUUGGUCCGACACUGACGCUGAGGCGCGAAAGCGUGGGGAGCAAACA